GGGAUAUCAGGAGGAGGGAGAGAGGAAAGGUGGGGAUAUCAGGAGGAGGGAGAGAGGGAAGGUGGGGAUAUCAGGAGGAGGGAGAGAGGAGGGGAUAUCAGGAGGAGGGAGAGAGGAAAGGAGAGGAUAUCAGGAGGAGGGAGAGAGGAGGGGAUAUCAGGAGGAGGGAGAGAGGAGGGGAUAUCAGGAGGAGGGAGAGAGGAAAGGUGGGGAUAUCAGGAGGAGGGAGGGAGGAAAGGUGGGGAUAUCAGGAGGAGGGAGAGAGGAAAGGAGGGGAUAUCAGGAGGAGGGAGAGAGGAAAGGAGGGGAUAUCAGGAGG
ensembl:lncRNA